AAGCCAUGAUACAAGCAUGCAUUAAUAGUCUCCUUGAAAUGAUCCCAGCUAAAAAUGAAUUUUUUUCCAUAUUUUGCUGUGAAAUCCGAAAUUUCUCUUUUAAGAGU